GGAGAUGGAUCGGAUCGUCCCCUCGUCUGGCUGUGACUUCCUGGAACCCACUUGUGCUCCGAACGGGAAGAAGGUGUGUUUCUGAUAUUUUUUUCUAUUCCUACCACCAGGGUUUACGUAGCAACCAUGUUGUUUGUUCUAAAAGACACACUGGAGGAGCAGCAGGUGUGACCCUCUUUCUUACUUUUCAUAUAUGAUUGCAAAAAUAAUUUUUUUCUAUGGUUACAGUUGCACUGAAUGUUUUUUGUUGAUAUUCGCUUCAUGCAGAUAGUACAUUAUAAGUUCUAUGUCAAUGUUAAAAUCUCUUUCAAAAUUUAAGUUGAAUGUUAAAUGUUGAUGGAUGUUGUGGACAUGUUUUACGCCGCGGGAACACUGCCUGAGAAGACCAGGCCCGUCCGUCACCAGCCAAGGAGAGAAGUCCCCACGACCGAGGACUGUGCGUUGGAACCUGCUGUUUGCGGUUCACCAGUCCGGUCUGUGAGGGCUACACAUUCCCAGGUUGCGCAAGGUGAAACGCAUAGGUUGGUGCUUGGUGAACGUGAAGAUUAACCUGGUAGACCUGGAAGGCAACCCACCAUUUGCAGUAAGGUCAUGUUGGAUGCUGAGGUCUAUCAGGAGGAGUUCUGUCUCAACAUUUAAAGCUUUUGUAAUUUGCAAUGGACUGAGUAUUGCCGUGGACUGAAGGAGUGACCAGAUUGCCCUGUGACUGGCUGUAGUCUUCAGUUGGGCUUGCCAACCCACGCUGUAGACAAGAAGAUUGACCAUCCCAUUGAAUCCUGUGUGGUUCAGCCCAAAGUUGCUGAAGGAAAUGGACCUGAUCGUUCCUGCCUCUGGCUGUGUCACUCCGCUACCUACAUCUUCUCCAAGGGGGAAAAAGUAUUCAUUAUAUUUAUGUAUAUUUUGUGGAUGAUCAUUUCAAUUUCAUGUCCCACAGAUGGUUUAACAAACAUUUCAUUGCAAUUUUUGCAAUUUUGACUUUCAUUACAAGGCCAGUACGAGACGCUGUUCAGUACCCAAUCUCUCCAAGCAGAGACCACAGGAGCAUGUGCAAAACUGUUUUAAGUCUCAUAUAUGAUUACAGAAAUUGUUUCAAAUUGUUUUCUCUAACAUUAAAUGAUACUGAAUGCAGGGGCCUGAUUUAGAAAAAUAUUAAUGGAGUUUUGCCUCGCUGCUCUGUCUUUGUGGCUUUCCUCUCUCUCAUCGUGUCAUUUGUUGUGAAUUGGCGCUAUAUUAGAUAAACUGUAUUGAAUUAUGCACUUUAGUAGCCCUCUGGCGGCCUGUCCAGGGAGUACCCCACCUCUCGCCCAGUGACACUGGAGAUAGGCACCAGCAACCCCCACGACCCCAUGAAGGAUUAA